rnacentral:rRNA from 1 species
UAAAGCAGCCAUGUCACCCUGCAACUUACAAUUGACAACCCAUUGAAGGUAAGCAGGUGUGAGCCUGGCCAGUACCCGGAUGGAGGAGACCUCCUGGGAAAAACUAAGGUUGCUGAUGGAA